UUACGACCAUAUCACGUUAAAACACCGCUUCCCGUAUGAUCACCGAAGUUAAGCAACGUUGAGCUUGGCCAGUACCUAGAUGGGUGACCGCUUGUGAAUAGAAGGUGCUAU